GUCUCGGUAGUCUAAAGGACGCUCGCACGGAAUGCAAGAGAUCCGGGUUCGACUCCCGGCCGAGGCA
rfam:Trachymyrmex septentrionalis contig21217, whole genome shotgun sequence.